UCCUUAUAUACUUUUAUCUUGCUGUUCAUAUUGUUCGCUGAACCCAAGGUAGGCAAGGUGUGAGCCGGGAAGCUGGAAGAAAACUCGAGGAGCAGAAGCAACUGGAGACACGUUUAUUCUCUAAUGGCAGGUGCUGUGGCAAAAGGAGCAUCUCAGUACUCACCGGGAGAGGUGGAUACAAUCUAGGAGAUCCAGCUGAGGUGGAAUCCUGGGGAUGUUGACCAGAGGUCUCCAUCGCUGAGAUUGGAGCCUGCAGAAACUGUGACUCUAUGAUCUCUGGGAGAGCUGGCAGAGGGGCAGCAGCUGCUAUAGGAACUUCACAUGGCCCUGGAUCAGGCAUUAAGGUGGCCUCCGAUCCUGAUGGAGCACUACGAGGCAGGAGGUCCUGCUAAGGAACACGGAACUAAUAAGCCACCACCAACCGGAAGAGUUCGGGAAAGGUCAAAAGGAGACACUACAUGUCCGACCACCUCCCAGAAUCCUUCUGUCUGGCAUCCAUCUUGGCUGAACAAGGCAUGCACCACCAGGAAGGACUAUGAGUCAGAAUGAUUGGCUAAGGGCAACCUGGAAACUAAUCACUUUACAUAAAACCUGGGACUGCAAGCCAUGUGGCAGAGCAGUUCUCCCAGGUUCCCUUACCCUACUGCUCUCCACCCAGGUGGCAUUUCCCAAUAAAAUCUCUUGCUUUGUCAGU
ensembl:lncRNA